AGGAUGAACGCUGGCGGCGUGCCUAAUACAUGCAAGUCGAACGGGCUCUUCGGAGCUAGUGGCGGACGGGUGAGUAACACGUUGGUACCUACCCCUAAGUGGGGAAUAACUGCCCGAAAGGGUGGCUAAUACCGCAUAAUCCGCAAGGUAAAGCAGUAAUGCGCUUAGGGAGGGGCCUGCGUCCCAUUAGCUUGUUGGUAGUGUAAUGGACUACCAAGGCGACGAUGGGUAGCUGGAUCGAGAGGUUGACCAGCCACACUGGGACUGAGAUACGGCCCAGACUCCUACGGGAGGCAGCAGUAAGGAAUCUUCCACAAUGGACGAAAGUCUGAUGGAGCAACGCCGCGUGCAGGAUGACGGCCUUCGGGUUGUAAACUGCUUUUAUAUGGGAAGAUUAUGACGGUACCAUAUGAAUAAGGACCGGCUAACUACGUGCCAGCAGCCGC
rnacentral:rRNA from 1 species